GAUCAUGGCUCAGGAUGAACGCUGGCGGCGUGCCUAACACAUGCAAGUCGAGCGAGAAACUUAUGACGGAAGCUUCGGUUGAAGUCAUGGGUGGAAAGCGGCGGACGGGUGAGUAACGCGUAGGUAACCUGCCUCAUACAGGGGGAUAACAGUUGGAAACGACUGCUAAUACCGCAUAAGCGCACGGUAUCGCAUGGUACAGUGUGAAAAACUCCGGUGGUAUGAGAUGGACCCGCGU
rnacentral:rRNA from 1 species